rnacentral:sRNA from 1 species
AUUUUGUUGAAACCAAGUGUGAGACACAAUGUAUUGGGAUGAUUGAGUGAUGGUGACACUCAAUGUUAAACUGUGGUGUUUUUGCUUUUGCUGUUUCUAAUAUUUUCUUAAUGUCUUUUUAAAUUCUUUACUGCUUUCAUGGUGGGUAGCGCCAGAGAUGGAGGGGUUCAAAAUGGGACUAACUCUUGAAGGCACAGUAUUUUGUCUCGACCCAUUAGACAGUAGGUGCUGACAUCAAGAACAAGAAAUCCUGAUUCAUGUUAAAUGUGUUUAUAUACACAUGUCAUUUAUUAUUACUUUAAGAUAGGUAUUAUUCACGUGUCAAUAUGUUUUUGAAUAUUUUAAUAUUUUGAAAAUUUUUUCAGUUAAAUUUCCUCACCUUCACUAUUGAUCUAUAAUUUUUAUUUUAAAAACAGCUUACUGUAAAGUAGAUCAUACUUUUAUGUUCCUUUCUGUUUCUACUGUAGAUGAAUUUGUAAUUGAAAGACAUAUUAUAUAAAUACCUGCCUUGUGUCUGAGUUCUAUUUAGUUAGCAUCUUGAAAUUUGUGUUCAUUUUCCAGAUGGCUAGUUUAUUAAUGAUUUCCCAA